rnacentral:rRNA from 1 species
GACGAACGCUGGCGGCGUGCUUAACACAUGCAAGUCGAACGGUAAGGCCCUUCGGGGUACACGAGUGGCGAACGGGUGAGUAACACGUGGGUGAUCUGCCCUGCACUUCGGGAUAAGCCUGGGAAACUGGGUCUAAUACCGGAUAGGACUCCGGACUGCAUGGUCUGGGGUGGAAAGCUUUUGCGGUGUGGGAUGGGCCCGCGGCCUAUCAGCUUGUUGGUGGGGUGAUGGCCUACCAAGGCGACGACGGGUAGCCGGCCUGAGAGGGUGACCGGCAACACUGGGACUGAGAUACGGCCCAGACUCCUACGGGAGGCAGCAGUGGGAAAUAUUGCACAAUGGGCGCAAGCCUGAUGCAGCGACGCCGCGUGAGGGAUGACGGCCUUCGGGUUGUAAACCUCUUUCAGCAUCGACGAAGCGAAAGUGACGGUAGGUGCAGAAGAAGGACCGGCCAACUACGUGCCAGCCGCCGCGGUAA